AAAUGAUGAUGAUGUUGAUGAUGAUGAUGAUGAUGAUAGUGAUCAUCAUCAUCAUCAUCAUCAUCAAUCAUCAUCAACUUUC
rnacentral:pre_miRNA from 1 species